rnacentral:rRNA from 1 species
GACAGAGGGUGCAAACGUUGCUCGGAAUCACUGGGCGUAAAGGGCGCGUAGGCGGGAAUGUAAGUCGGGCGUGAAAUCCCUGGACUCAACCCAGGAACUGCGUCCGAUACUGGUUGGCUUGAAUCCGGGAGAGGGACGUGGAAUUCCAGGUGUAGCGGUGAAAUGCGUAGAUAUCUGGAGGAACACCGGUGGCGAAGGCGACGUCCUGG